rnacentral:rRNA from 1 species
ACGCACGCUGGCGGCAUGCCUAACACAUGCCAGUCGCACGAGACCUUCGGGUCUAGUGGCGCACGGGUGCGUAACGCGUGGGAACCUGCCUUUAGGUUCGGAAUAACUCAGAGAAAUUUGAGCUAAUACCGGAUGAUGUCUUCGGACCAAAGAUUUAUCGCCUUUAGAUGGGCCCGCGUUGGAUUAGCUAGUUGGUGGGGUAAAGGCCUACCAAGGCGACGAUCCAUAGCUGGUCUGAGAGGAUGAUCAGCCACACUGGGACUGAGACACGGCCCAGACUCCUACGGGAAGCAGCAGUGGGGAAUAUUGGACAAUGGGCGAAAGCCUGAUCCAGCAAUGCCGCGUGAGUGAUGAAGGCCUUAGGGUUGUAAAGCUCUUUUACCCGAGAUGAUAAUGACAGUAUCGGGAGAAUAAGCUCCGGCUAACUCCGUG